CAGGGCCCGAGGGAAGAGGCCAGGCCCUGGUGGGGCGGCCGAGUCUCUACGCUUGGGGCGGCCUCGGGGCCUGUUUUUUUACCCCCCGUCAGCUGUUGUUUGGGGAGGGGCGGCGGGCUGGGGGUCGGGAGGAAUUCUUAAGGGGGAACAAUGGGGCGAAGGGUGGGCGGUCGCCCGAGAUCUCUCGAAGAGGCUGGAACGGGGCCGCGGGCAAGGUUUCCUCCUUCUGGGUUUGGCUUUCUCUUCGUGGUCUUAUUAAAAGCCCGACACAGUUUGGCGGAGAUGUGAGAGUAUCGAACUGUCGGAUCUUGCCGAACCCGAAAGACGCUGGCGAGGCCCAUUCUUUUUUUGUGACGGCUGACAGUUUCAGAGGGAGAAGAAAGGUAGAAUUAUAUACGCUAUAAGCACUUUCAUAUAUUUACUAUAUUAGGGAAGCAUUUCUCUCCUUUACUCCCCAGAAAUGAUUGAUA